UUGAACCAUCCCGCUGCAAAAUGUUCCUUUUUCAUGAAAUGGGACCCAGGUGGCACACGUGACAUUGAACUUUGAGCUUCAUUUAGUGGCUGACCGUCAUGUGGUAGGGCAAACAGGCACCAAACGGUGUUUGCUGCCUCUGCAAGGUGUGCACAGUAUCAUUGAUGGGAGACAGCUUGUGAUGAGGAGGGGAACGUACAUGGCAGAAGAUUAAACAGGAAGGUGAAAAGAUAUGAAAGGUUCAUAGCUCACGAAAGAACGUAGGAACGAGCGAGGUUGUGAAGGUCUUUUACGCGGGGCAGAGCAGCAAUCGGAGAACAUCUACGCUCAGUGUAAUACAUAUUUGGCUGUUGAAGGUUGAGAUUAGUUCCUCAUUGCAAACAUUCAGAAGCCCAUAAGUCUGAUUCCUUGGCUCAUGUCACCAGCUUUAAAUCAAUGGAACAAAAUGGAGAAAAUAACCAUCCUCCCAACUAGAAUGCCAGUGGAAUAAAACUAUAUCAUCUUCAUUUGUUGAAUCUGUUGCUGCUUUAGUAAAUCCAUCUGCUGUCUCUUUCUGUGGCUCUCUCGCACUCCUGCGUUUGCUCGCUUGCCCAAUCUCUCGUUCAAAUAUAGUGUCAAAGUCUAGAUUACUGUGCUCACCAACAUCCAUGCUGGUGCCAGUUCUCUAAUUUUUGAGCAGUGAUGAAGGUUCCUUGGGAGAAAUACAGAUCACACUUUUUGAGCUUGUUUCUAAUAAUUGAUUUUAUUGUUUAGAUUUAUGUUUGGAAAUUUUACUUUCAGCUGGAAAUAUGUAUUUUAAAAAUUCAGAAAUCCUGUAACUGAAGGUUGAAUUUUGGAAAGAUAAACCACUUCUUUUUUUGGUGGGAGUGCAGAAUUGAGAGAUCUCUGUCGAUUCAGCAAUGAAAGAGUCUCACUUAAUUUUUACUUGAUUCAUCCAAGUUUCCUGUUGGCUGAAAUGUAAAAGAGAAUAUGUUUGCGGGCAUGGGGCUCUUUCUACUUGGCUAAUCUUGUGGCUAAAGUAAGCUACAAGGAUGGCAAUAAAAACCUCCAGAAGCAUUUGUGAAUCAAAGCAAUUAUUUUAGAGGGUGGGGUUGUGAAAGAAGGAGCGAUGAAACAAUUCCCAGCCAAUAUCAGUUUAAUUCAUUAAAUACCAAUCUUAAUCCCUUUAAAGUUGCAUGUCAAUUUUUCGAAAAUAUUUGAAGACAUAAAGGAUUGUUCCCAAUUUUGCCUGCUGACGAGUGUGUUCUCUGUCUUUUAGUUGGUGAUAUUUUUUUUCAAACUUUCUUGGAAAUAUUUAGGUACUCUAACUUAUCGUAUAGUUUCCAAACAUGACUCCACUAUUAUUGUAGCAUAAAAUUGCUCCUUAUCAGAGAAGGGGGAAGGGAAAACUGUGCAGAAUAGGACUAUUGUGAUAUUGGGAUUGUAGAAUUUUGCAGCGUUGCAGACAGGCAUUCAUCUCGCUGUAUUCUAUGAAAGACCUGUCAAGUUAGGUGCUCUCUACUUUCCUCCUAUAUCCUCCUUAAAAUGACAGCAAAUACAAAUUGUCAUGUCUUUGUACAUUCUUAAACCUACAGGGAACCAUAGUCACCAAUUUAUAGACAGUUAGUUUAGAGAGAGCUGCAAACCUAAUGGUUGUACUGAAAAUUAAGAUUAUAGGUAGGUGUGAAAUUGUCCUGACUUUGUCUGUAGGACUGCCUUGAUUUUUUUUUCUUUUUAAAAGCAAAUAUUUCUUUGCCUGAAUUAUUAGAACUCUCAUUCGUGCUAGUGGUUUUAAUUUUGUUUCUUGCUUUCUUCAGCUUCUCAGUGGCAAAAUGUCUUGUAUAAUCUUGAUAUAUUUUAUGUAACAUUCUUAAUUUUAUCUCUACAAGCUGGUCAGCACAAGUAAUAGAACUGCAGUCAUAAGUACUUAAGUAACUAGAGAUACUGUCUCCAACUGCAACCCAGUGGGAAUCGUGUUUACCCACUUAUCUCCUAGGGUGAACUUUUUCUGGGUUUUUAGUCUGUCUGUUUUUGCAGCCCCUACUGAAUUGACUUAUUGUUUUAAGCCCAUCAUGAAUAGCUAGAAGAGAGCCCGUUCGUGUCCAGCACCCCAUGUUACCCACACUUCCACAGAGUCACUGCUUGGUCGUAUAAACUGGAAGUACUGGUUGUCUUCCACCCUGGAUGGAGACAAUUUAUACGAGUUUCAAUGCUCCCCAACUGAAUGCUGAAUUGGGACUUGAACUGGAAAACUACGUAGGCAGUGUCCAUUCUACUUGUUGGGGCGUGAUGUCUUUUAGUGGGAUUGGUGUGUGCACUCCUGUUAUUUUCCCUGAAAUCCUGGGGACAACAGUGGUGCAUAUUUUAAAAUGAGGAUUCAAAGCUUAGUGAUUCAGAAUAUCUUGUUAUUAACAGCUAAAUGACUUGUGACAGCUUCAAUGCUGUUUUAAUUUUCUAGUUUUAUUCCUGGAAAAGAAUAACUGUUAAAUGUUUCACCUAGAGGCCACUGUCAGCUAGUUAGUGCUGUAGUAUUGAGGCAAAUCUGUGCUUGAAUUUAGAUUAUUAUUGAUGUAGGUUAUGGUGUAGUGUUUGCACGCAAAGUAAAGAGUUUCACUGCCUUUGGUAGCUGUGGUGUAGUUGAUUAAGUACUGAGUGGGUGGUGUAUUUGGUACUUGUGCUGAAUAUUCUUGGGGAAAGGUUGCACAGUUGGCAACUGGAACAAUUCCUCUGAGUUCACUUCAGAUCACUGACCCAAAAGGUCUCUCAAUCUGUUAUCUGUAUUUGGCAUUCUCUUUGAAACCAGUGAUAUUGUGACAUUUUCUUUCUGCAAAUUUGGCCAUUGUUUUAAAAUAAUGUUUUGGAUUUUUCACACAAGUGGUUGAACAUUUUUUAAGAUUUGUUUUGAAAUGUUUUGUGGACACUGCUUGGCUCAGUGAAUAACCUUAUGCUCUGAGCAGUUUGGACUAGGAAAAUUCCAGAUCUAUAUCACAUUUUGCAAUUAGCCUCGUCAUCGCUGAACUAUAGAGUGGAAAAAAUGGGGAGGGAUUCCCAGUCUUGGUUACGGUCACCUAUUGGUAAAUGUAUGUGUGACCAUUGGAUGUUGAAUUGAUUCAAACCAUGGGUCACUACUACAGGGAAACUGUCCAGGCCAGCAUAUUAUGAACAGAUACUGGGGAACAUUUGUGAAGUUCAGGGUUCUUGGGAGCUAACUGAAAAAAAAACAAAUGUAAUUAAUUUAAUAGUCAAUAUUGCAAAUUAUUUUUGCCCUGUUUUCAUCACGUUUUACAUUCUACAGAUCGUGUUAAUGACCAUGGCAUUGUUUGUGAUAAGGUACUUUAGGAGAGUUUGCAGUCAUAAUGGGGUGCGGGCAGAUAUCAGUCUAAAAUGUGUUGGAUUAACACAACAUUUAACAUGUCAAUUGUGCAUGUAAAGAACUGGUUUCUUAAGUGUCACUAGUCUGUAUCCCCUCUGGCAAGGUGAUGUAGUAACCAACAUGUAGAGAAAGCUUGGAUCUAAAUGCUCCAGGGAUAUUUUUAAGGGGUUAAAUUUUAUUUUCCACUAGCCCAUUCCUAAGGCUACAGUCUGCAAACUAAGUGUUGUGUAGAAUUGUAUGGAAUGAAACUGAAUGAAUGCAUUUCCACCAAACGCCUUAACAAUGGAUUAAAAUAAAGGAAGGGGGAAGGAAAACAUUCUCAUUACACAGCCCAAAUGAUCUUUUCUGAUUUUUGACUUAUGAUGUACAGUUGGUCUUCCUACAAGAGCUGUGCUUUUGCAGAGUUUAUUUAAAAAUAUGUACCCUGUGUAUCUGAUCAAUAUGCAGCUUCUGAUUUGUGGUUUUUGGUAAAGUAAUACAAAUCAGAACAUUGUGCUGUUCUGUCUGUAAUAUUACAUGUCUGUUGAAGAAGAGAUUCUAAAUGUUUAGCAGUAUAAAUCAGCAAUGAGAGAUAAUAUUGAAAAUUCAGGAUGGAGCAGAAACUGUUUAACUUGAAUUGAAAUGACUUGGCAUUUUGCACUAUAACUCCUCAGGACCUACAGCUAAUGUAACUGUUUUCUCACAAUUCCCAAGAUGCAGAUUUAUUUUCCCUUCGCUUUUGAAGCGCACUGCUACUUGGAAAAUUGGGUUUGCUGUUUGUAUUUUUAAAUUCCCCUUUAAUCUCAUUUUCCACUGAAUUGUAAUAUUGUACUUCUUUUGUUGGAAAGGGGUGAAAUAUGUAACAUUCAUUUCCUGUAUUUUGUAAAAUGUUUUUUUUUGUUAAAUAACCCUGUGUAUACACUGAAACAAAGUCAGGACUUGUCAUUAAAAGUCAGAGAUAGUGAC